ACAACUUUCAACAACGGAUCUCUUGGCUCUCGCAUCGAUGAAGAACGCAGCGAAAUGCGAUAAGUAAUGUGAAUUGCGGAAUUCAGUGAAUCAUCGAAUCUUUGAACGCAUCUUGCGCUCCUUGGUAUUCCAUGGAGCAUGCCUGUUUGAGUGUCAUUAAA
rnacentral:rRNA from 1 species